AAGCUUGAGGCAGGCGCGCGUAUUGAUUCCCGCGUGACGUUUAUACGGUGAGGUGAGAAAGCUGCAACCUGAAGAGUCGUGCCAUUUCCUUCGCCACUAAAAAACUGAACGAGGAAGACACGGACUCAAGCAACAAUUUGGGAUUCCUCGUUUUUGAGCCGUUUGUCCUUGGUCCACUGGAAGGAGAUCGGUGAUCAGUGGACCAGAAUGAGAGAGGUCAUUCAAGUCUGCUCGAGCAGGGACCCGUUGGCCCUUCGCGCGAGAAAUGAUUUUUAGAAGGAAGAGGGCAUGACGCACCGAACUCAUGCAGUGGCGAAAACACGUGCGCAUCAAGUACGGUGGUCGAGUCGGUGUCGGUCAAGGACAACGGGAGCGGGAGCAGGUGCAGCUGCAGGUGCGCGUGGUGCAGCUGCAGCGGGAAGGG